UACGGGGGGGGCAAGCGUUGUUCGGAAUUACUGGGCGUAAAGGGCUCGUAGGCGGCCAACUAAGUCAGACGUGAAAGCCCCCGGCUCAACUGGGGAGGGUCACGCGAUACUGAUCGACUCGAAGGCAGGAGAGGGUAGUGGAAUUCCCGGUGUAGUGGUGAAAUGCGUAGAUAUCGGGAGGAACACCAGUGGCGAAGGCGACUACCUGGCCUGUUCUUGACGCUGAGGCGCGAAAGCUAGGGGAGCAAACGGG
rnacentral:rRNA from 1 species